rnacentral:lncRNA from 1 species
GUGCUGUAAGGAGCUAUUCACAGGGCUUGUCCCAGUGACAGCAGACACCCGAUACUCGCAGGCUGGGUCUUGUAAGCUCAUACUUUUUAUCAAGGAGAGGUGCAGGGAGAAUUUGCUGCUUCAAAGACUUUUCCCACAGCAACGGAGCUAUGAGCUCGUGCUGUUUGCAGCCAGACGCUGAUGCUCUGUGCAGUGAGAUGGAGGUGCCUGGAGGAGUGGCUGGGUGGCUGGAGAAGCUGCGUGAGGACAUCGAGUCUGAAGGAAUGACAGCCAUUUCUGGAACAUCCUCCCUUGAACAAAAAGUACAGUCACUUUAGUGACAGAGCGUGCAGGAACAGCUCCUGAGGGUGACUUCUCAGCCUUGCAUGAGUAGGAAGAAAAAAUAUGGUACUAGUAUUUCUCACAGCAAGUUGCCAGGUAAACAACCAUUAGACAUAUUUCAUCGUACAGAAAUCAAUUCUAUGUAAGACACAUACAAACAUUCUCAGUUGCUGCUUGCAGGAC